rnacentral:rRNA from 1 species
GACGAACGCUGGCGGCGUGCUUAACACAUGCCAGUCGAACGGUGAAGCGCCUUCCUUUUUGGUGGGUGUGGAUGAGUGGCGAACGGGUGAGUAACACGUGAGUACCUGCCCCCUUCUUCUGGAUAACCGCAUGAAAGUGUGGCUAAUACGGGAUAUUCUGGGUCUGUCGCAUGAUGGGUCUGGGAAAGAUAUUGUUUCGGUGGGGGAUGGGCUCGCGGCCUAUCAGCUUGUUGGUGGGGUGAUGGCCUACCAAGGCGGUGACGGGUAGCCGGCCUGAGAGGGUGGACGGUCACACUGGGACUGAGACACGGCCCAGACUCCUACGGGAGGCAGCAGUGGGGAAUAUUGCACAAUGGGCGCAAGCCUGAUGCAGCGACGCCGCGUGAGGGAUGGAGGCCUUCGGGUUGGGAACCUCUUUCGCCAGUGAAGCAGGCCUGCCUCGUUUGUGGGUGGGUGGACGGUAGCUGGAUAAGAAGCGCCGGCUAACUACGU